UACGGGGGGGUGAAGCGUUGUUCGGAAUUACUGGGCGUAAAGGGCGCGUAGGCGGCCUUCUAAGUCGAACGUGAAAUCCCCGGGCUCAACCCAGGAACUGCGUCCGAUACUGGAAGGCUUGAAUCCGGGAGAGGGAUGCGGAAUUCCAGGUGUAGCGGUGAAAUGCGUAGAUAUCUGGAGGAACACCGGUGGCGAAGGCGGCAUCCUGGACCGGUAUUGACACUGAGGCGCGAAAGCCAGGGGAGCAAACGGG
rnacentral:rRNA from 1 species